rnacentral:rRNA from 1 species
GAUGAACGCUGGCGGCGUGCCUAAUACAUGCAAGUCGAGCGAACCACUUCGGUGGUGAGCGGCGAACGGGUGAGUAACACGUAGGUGAUCUGCCCAUCAGACGGGGACAACGAUUGGAAACGAUCGCUAAUACCGGAUAGGACGAAAGUUUAAAGGUGCUUCUGGCACCGCUGAUGGAUGAGCCUGCGGCGCAUUAGCUAGUUGGUAGGGUAAAGGCCUACCAAGGCGACGAUGCGUAGCCGACCUGAGAGGGUGAACGGCCACACUGGGACUGAAACACGGCCCAGACUCCUACGGGAGGCAGCAGUAGGGAAUCUGCGGCAAUGGGCGAAAGCCUGACCGAGCAACGCCGCGUGAAUGAUGAAGGCCUUCGGGUUGUAAAAUUCUGUUAUAAGGGAAGAACGACUUUAGUAGGAAAUGGCUAGAGUGUGACGGUACCUUAUGAGAAAGCCACGGCUAACUACGCGCCAGCCGCCGCAGUAAAAC